UGGGCGUGAUUAUAUUCAAGUUGUCUCACUAUAUGCUAUGGCUAUGCUAAUAGUGGACCACUUCCAUCUUCUUCCUUUUCUCAUUAUUACUAUUAUACAUCUUCCCCAAGCUUUUCACCUUCCAGCCUAAUAAAUUAUAACCUAUCACCUAGGGAUAUGACUUAGAUAGAUCUUGUUGAUGCAUCCUCUUCAUCCACCCCUUCUUUUCCCCCUUUAUAUACACUUUCACCUCCUACUUAUUCGAUAGAGUUAGAUAUACAUUUCAGGGUCAGUCAAUCAACUCAAAAUUACUUUAACUAUAGCGUCAAAGUUUUGGAUCUGACACCUAUAUGAAGGAUACUGGAUCGUGAACCACUAGCAGUUGAAGCUGCCAGCAUGAUCUAAACUUUUCUAUUGCUCCGGUUGAGGAAAGAUCAGAUCAUGUGGCAGCAUCACCUGUUGAUGGUUUCGCGAAAUUUGCAUCCCUUGAUUCAUUUCACUGCUAAUUUCCAACAUGUACCGUUCUUCUUUCUAUCCUUGUUUGAGGCAGCUGCAAGUCUCAAUCCAGGUCAUGAUAGAAAAGAAGAGGAAGAGCGGAGAUUUCCAGUUGGAGUGUUGAAGGUAUAAACAUGAAGAGUUUGGCAAUCUCCAUUGAAGAUGUGUUUUCAAAAGGACCCAUUCAGAGGCCGGAUAUUUUCAAAAGAAGAGUAAAUUCUCCAGAAAUGUGAAAAGAAGAAUAACUCGAUCGUCAAGAAGAUGUAGGUCUUGAAGGACUUCACAAGAUAGGAAGAGAUGACAAGAGAAUCCUUCUGUGAGUUAGGUUUGCGAUAGCCAAAAGUUAGAAGGUAAUGUGGAAUGAAUUUGUCAUUUGUUGUAAAUGUGUAAACUAAGAGGCUCCUGAAAAUGAAGUUGAAAUUAUCAAAAAAGAAUUGAAAAAUAUGAAAAGAUACAGUUAGUUUUUAGGGGGAUUAAUGUUGAAAAUGGUAAACUUAAUGUGUCCAGAUUCAUGUCUUUUAGUUAUCCUAUGAACAUGAUCUUUUAUA